UUGGUUUGUAACGCAGGAUGAGGUUUUUGUUGUUGUUGUUUUUAAAAGAUUGCCAAUAUUAAAUCUACGUUUUGAAUCGGAUUAAAUCCGAUUGUAGUUGGCCAAACUCUCGGGUGUAGAAAGAGAGCAAGGAUGAGUAUUCCUCCGCGAAAUACCACAAUCCCCGACGGACUGGCAAUAUUGCUCGAAGCAUUAAGUCGCGCUGCGUUCAGACAUCACCCAGAGAAUCUCAUAGACUUCGCUUCGCUGUUUUUCGAUGAGCUCCGCCAGUUCAGGUCCAGUAAGUGGAAGGAUGGAGUUCCAACAGAUUUUGAUCACUUACCCCCGAUGUUAAAUGAGAAGGAUUUGUGUUUUUUGUUUUUGUUUUUGUUUUUCUGUAGAAAAUACAGGUCUAGAUAUGGAUAAUCUAAUUAAAGAAUUCAGAAGAACUAAAGGUGGUAAAUUUUACCAAAAAAGCCAGGCCUCGUGUGCUCAGGCUAAUGGCCCACUUCCUGAAGACACCCAGGGCCCUGUCCCAGUCUUUCCAAGCACACAAGCACCACCCACCAUCCCAGACACAAGAGCAGACACUUCUGACGCAUCUUCCUUCAGUGGCUCUGAGGAGAGGGGCCUUGACGAGGUCCUCUCUGCCACCAUUAUCACCUUGUCUCCAGGCCUCUUCAACCCUGAGACAGCCCAAAGCGUGGCUGUGUUUCAGCGGGCGUGUGAUCCAGAGGAGAGCAGCGUGCCCCCAGCCAGCGACGCCGCCGCGCGUCACCGGCCCUCCUUGGCACUCUUCGAGCGGGUCUCCCUACGGAACCUCACCUCCGAAGUGGAAGCUCAUCUUAUCCAGACCUCCAGAGUCCCCAGUGAGCCCAUGAUCAUUGUGCAGACCCAAGACAUGCCAGAGAUGAUUGUGUUCCAGGCUGCACCCGCUUUACCCGGAGACGUGGCAGAGGACGCGUGUCCGUCUUUGGACACUGACAUGGGGGCGAUGCCCGAUGGCCCGGAAAGUGCACCUGGUCAAACGAUGCCCUUUACAGACACAGAGGAAGCCGUCAUGGCACUAAUACAGCAAUGUGUGACAUUUGAUCCUGUGUGUACUGAAGUAACUGCUGACCAGCCUGAGGAUGUGCCCCCUAUGCCUGCAGAAACUAGUUUGUCAGCACCGGAACAUCCACAGAACCUGGUGCCAGUACACAGGGACACAGCACCUACUAUAGACACGGAUGCGGCUGUGCGCUUUGAGACCACCUCAUCUCCGAUAUCUGUUGGAGCAGCUGAUCAUUAUCCAACAUUUUCACGUCAGUCACACGUCACUGACGCAGUGCUUUCUCCUUGUCCUCCUCGGUUCCUCGUGAGAACUCCUAUUCCACUCGCAACUUCAUCAGAGGAGUCCAAGUUGACUGUGGAGAUUACUGACACACACCCAAAUAGCCCUACAGCGCCCCCUGCAGAUUCAUUAGUGGACAUGUACAUAAAACGCCAUCACUCGUCUUCGGCCCCUAAGCAAGCUGACUGCACAGCAGUCUUGGAGGACCUUCCGUUUCCCAUCGUGCCCAGUUUGGAGUACCAGACCAGCUUGGUCCCAGAAAUGACUCUGGUCUCAGCUCAAGUGUCCUGCAUGCCUGCCGUCAUCCAGGAUGACCCUCGGUUCCACACGGCGCAGUGGCUUUCACAGUACCAGGAUGGAGUUUCCAUGGUGACAGGCAAUGCGGCAUUGGCUGGUCAGCCAGUCUACGGGGAGCCGGAAAACCCUCAGCAGCAAGCAUGCGCCCCAAACUACACUCACAAAGCAGGGUAUCUCAGACUGUCCGGUGCUACAGCUCCAGUACUUGGUGCUGAGGUGUCCACAGGUCCAUGUGUGGACUAUGCCUGCCCUGCCAGCUGUGGGCGACUGUGUCGCCCGGGCCGCCACGACCCGCGCGGCAGGCUCCGGGCCCCUGUGAAUGUGCCCGCUCGCGGCCUGUCGCACCUCAGCUUCCCUGGAUGGCAGGACUGCGGCCACUUCUGUAGCUGCCACUGCCACCCCCAUGACCGGCGGCAGAGCCGCGCCUCCCCUGGGUACCUGGACGUCCCCCCCUCGGCCAACGCUGCGCCCGAGGGUGAGACGCUUGCCCCCUUCCUGCCCACACCCUCCUGCUCCGUGGACUUUGUGUGCUGCCACGGCUGCUGCGUGUCUGCGAAUGUAUCCCGCUGCGGUCAGACACAGCGCCCCCUGCUGACACGCUAUCACAGUGCCCAGCACAAGCGCUGUUCCCGGAACGAGCUGAGCAAUGUGGACUCAUCUGGUUGUGCCCACACCUGCCACCAGGGGGUGCCAGAGUCUGGACAAGAAAAAACUCGUGCAGAAUGAGGCUUGCUGCUGCUGCAUCACAUCAACAGAUCACUAUUGUUCUGCUGAACUGAAGAGGAAGGGCAGAUUUUGUGAUGUUACUGAAUGCCUCCCUCCUUUACGAAGAGGAGAUCUAGGGCUAGGCGGUUCUGCAAGACAGCG